rnacentral:rRNA from 1 species
GACGAACGCUGGCGGCGUGCUUAACACAUGCAAGUCGAACGGUAAGGCCCUUCGGGGUACACGAGUGGCGAACGGGUGAGUAACACGUGGGUGAUCUGCCCUGCACUUCGGGAUAAGCCUGGGAAACUGGGUCUAAUACCGGAUAGGACCACUGCCUGCAUGGGUGGUGGUGGAAAGCUUUUGCGGUGUGGGAUGGGCCCGCGGCCUAUCAGCUUGUUGGUGGGGUGAUGGCCUACCAAGGCGACGACGGGUAGCCGGCCUGAGAGGGUGACCGGCCACACUGGGACUGAGAUACGGCCCAGACUCCUACGGGAGGCAGCAGUGGGGAAUAUUGCACAAUGGGCGCAAGCCUGAUGCAGCGACGCCGCAUGAGGGAUGACGGCCUUCGGGUUGUAAACCUCUUUCAGCACUGACGAAGCGCAAGUGACGGUAGGUGCAGAAGAAGGACCGGCCAACUACGUGCCAGCCGCCGCAGUAAGAC